AAAGAGCAGAAGAGGGAAAUCAGGUUGCUUAAACUCUCAGAGGAGCAGAAGGAAAUGAUGUUUCUCAGCAGGAAGGAUCGGAGCACUCACACAGAAGAGAAAAUUUCCAAAAUGGAGAAAAGUAUUGCUUUAAUGAAAAAGAGCCACGAGAGAAACAUUGAGCAGCGCAAGAAAA